rnacentral:piRNA from 1 species
UGGUGUCAAAAGCUGUCUAUAAGAUGGA